rnacentral:rRNA from 1 species
GUGUCAGCCGCCGCGGUAAUACGGAGGGUGCGAGCGUUAAUCGGAAUUACUGGGCGUAAAGCGUACGCAGGCGGUUUGUUAAGCGAGAUGUGAAAGCCCCGGGCUCAACCUGGGAACUGCAUUUCGAACUGGCAAACUAGAGUGUGAUAGAGGGUGGUAGAAUUUCAGGUGUAGCGGUGAAAUGCGUAGAGAUCUGGAGGAAUACCGGUGGCGAAGGCGGCCCCCUGGACAAAGACUGACGCUCAGGUGCGAAAGCGUGGGGAGCAAACAGGAUUAGAAACCCUGGUAGUCC